rnacentral:rRNA from 1 species
GGUUAAUUCGAUGCAACGCGAAGAACCUUACCAGGUCUUGACAUCCCACGAAUUCAUCUGAAAGGAUGGAGUGCCUUCGGGAGCGUGGAGGACAGGUGGUGCAUGGUUGUCGUCAGCUCGUGUCGUGAGAUGUUGGGUUAAGUCCCGCAACGAGCGCAACCCUUGCUAUUAGUUGCUAACAGGUAGAGCUGAGCACUCUAAUGGGACUGCCGGUGACAAGCCGGAGGAAGGUGGGGAUGACGUCAAAUCAUCAUGCCCUUUAUGACCUGGGCUACACACGUGCUACAAUGGAUGGUACAGAGAGCAGCGAGGCAGCGAUGUGGAGCGAAUCUCAAAAAGCCAUUCUCAGUUCGGAUUGGAGUCUGCAACUCGACUCCAUGAAGUCGGAAUCGCUAGUAAUCGCGAAUCAGCAUGUCGCGGUGAAUGCGUUCCCGGGCCUU